rnacentral:rRNA from 1 species
AAUGAACGCUGGCGGCAGGCCUAACACAUGCAAGUCGAACGGGUCCUUCGGGAUUAGUGGCGGACGGGUGAGUAACGCGUGGGAACAUACCCUUUGGUACGGAAUAGCCUCGGGAAACUGGGAGUAAUACCGUAGGUGGUCGAGAGACGAAAGAUUUAUCGCCAAAGGAUUGGCCCGCGUUGGAUUAGGUAGUUGGUGGGGUAAUGGACUACCAAGCCGACGAUCCAUAGCUGGUUUGGGAGGAUGAUCAGCCACACUGGGACUGAGACACGGCCCAGACUCCUACGGGAGGGAGCACUGGGGAAUCUUAGACAAUGGGGGAAACCCUGAUCUAGCCAUGCCGCAUGAUCGAUGAAGGCCUUAGGGUUGUAAAGAUCUUUCAGGUGGGAAGAUAAUGACUGUACCACCAGAAGAAGCCCCGGCUAACUCCGUGCCAGCCGCCGCCGUAA